CGGCCACAGGGCGAUGGAGUUCGCCCUCCCCAACCGCCUGGCGUCACGGGCUGAUAACUCCUACCGAAGC
rnacentral:ncRNA from 2 species